UACAGAGGUCUCAAGCGUUGUUCGGAAUCACUGGGCGUAAAGGGUGUGUAGGCGGUGUGUUAAGUCAGAUGUGAAAGCCCGGGGCUCAACCUCGGAACUGCAUCCGAUACUGGCAUGCUAGAGAAUUGGAGAGGAGUCUAGAAUUCACGGUGUAGCAGUGAAAUGCGUAGAUAUCGUGAGGAAUACCAAGUGCGAAGGCAGGACUCUGGACAUUUUCUGACGCUGAGACACGAAGGCCAGGGGAGCAAACGGG
rnacentral:rRNA from 1 species